CUAGUACACUAGUUCUGAAAUCCACAACUUCAAUAACAUAUUCAACUACGACAAUCUUCAUCUACAUGUGUAUAAAGCUUACUCAAAUUACAACAAACUCCUAUAGCUAUAAGUUACAACAAGUUCAACAACCGAACGCUGGAUAUGAGCGGCUAUGGUUCUCAUCUGAUAGUGCAUUAUCAACAGUCUCUACAAUAUGUGAUACGUCAGUUAGCAUACCGACCCUAGAGUUCCACGUUCUUGUAAAACAAGGAAUGGCCGACUCUGCUGAAUUCACUUCCUCAGACAAAUUGUU